UACGUAGGGUGCGAGCGUUAAUCGGAAUUACUGGGCGUAAAGCGUGCGCAGGCGGUUCGCAAAGUCUGAUGUGAAAGCCCCGGGCUCAACCUGGGAAUUGCAUUCGAAACUGGCAGGCUAGAGUCUUGUAGAGGGGGGUAGAAUUCCAGGUGUAGCGGUGAAAUGCGUAGAGAUCUGGAGGAAUACCGGUGGCGAAGGCGGCCCCCUGGACAAAGACUGACGCUCAGGUGCGAAAGCGUGGGGAGCAAACAGG
rnacentral:rRNA from 1 species